CAAAUUAAAGCUAAACUUAAGCAUUUUAUUUACAUUAAAAAGUUAAUUGUGAAAUUCAAUUUAGUUUGA
rnacentral:tRNA from 1 species